UACGUAGGUGGCAAGCGUUGUCCGGAUUUAUUGGGUUUAAAGGGUGCGUAGGCGGUCCCAUAAGUCAGUGGUGAAAUACUCUAGCUUAACUAGAGGGGUGCCAUUGAUACUGUGGGACUUGAGUAGAGUUGAAGUGGGCGGAAUUGACGGUGUAGCGGUGAAAUGCUUAGAUAUCGUCAAGAACACCGAUAGUGAAGACAGCUCACUAAGCUCGAACUGACGCUGAGGCACGAAAGUGUGGGGAUCAAACAGG
rnacentral:rRNA from 1 species